rnacentral:rRNA from 1 species
UCCUAAAACGACUGNGCGAUGUAUAUNCCUCUUAGCUUGUAAGCCGGUUUGGUAUUUCUAGAGNCUCAACGCCUGAGACCGCUUCGNAUUUUUAACNAGAGCCUAGAUACAUGGCCANAGUACGAAUCGGAAUGNGAUGUACAUGCAGCGAUGGCACCUUCAUGGACAGGGUGAUGCCGCGUAGGACGAGUGNGAGUACACAACCGGAGGCGUAACACUGGACGCAUAGGACCUGGGAUAUCCGGGGAAGACCGGGGUGCAUAUAAUNCACGGUAUAACCAUCUAAGCCAUCUAGUCAAUGUGUGUGGCGAAUAAAUUGCCNAAGGACGACCUUUUCGGGCCUAGAUCACCCUUUAAUUNGCAAUUGUGAAUACCUCGACGUUUCCGACUGAUUAUUAGACAAAAUACUUGGAAAAGNAGAAGCUAAAUCNGAGGGUCCAAAGNCUACAGUGUCCAUAACCGGAAUGGCGGUACGCCAGCGGAAGCCCCUCGAAUAGCAAAGGGGCGGUAAGGAAUUNCGGGGGUCGCCAANCGGAUNCANAGCGGGGAACCUUCGACGCAAAACAANGGGGGACCNCAAANAAGCCUGACUAAUACCCGAGGAGGACCGAGGCCACAGAACNGAGGAGGUAAGANGUCCAAGCAGGUCCCUAUUCUCCCCGUCGAGAANAAGCGAAGCAAGAAAAACNAAGCUCGUUCGCACCCAGGGACACGCUUCCCCNUCAGUCUCGGGCAGUGGCACACGGUCGCAUUUGACANAGGGGGACCCAUUUUCCACCAGCGCCGAUUCCCAGUUAAAGGAGAAGCCCUGAACCAAAGGCGACCGGUAGGAAAGGGGGGGAAAGACCGAAAAAACCGNACCACCGGUUAGGCUUAGAACAGCGUUUUGCAAACAGGUAAAAGGGGCUUAAAGGUGGAUCCCAACGCCACAUUUCNUGGACCAGGGAAAAACUCCCCUAAGACCUCCGGAGAAAACAAGAGGGGCCCACGCCAGAGCCCNUAAAAGAUUCNUACAAACGGUUAGAGCCCAAACAACCNAGNNGCCCCGGGCUGGAGGCNCANUAUUAAACCCNGGUUGAAUAGACUCUGGAGAUCACACUAAUGGACAGCAUAUAAAAGUUCCCCGACGGGAGAAGUUAAAAAUUCUGGAGGGGCUAGNUAACCAAGGAGCCCAGACCGCCCGGGCCCGANGGGGAAAGGCGACUCAUCAACNCAAGCUAGGGUUCCAGACCCGUGGUUAGGAAAUCCCGCNGCCCCACAUUGAGGUUUUGCACACACCCCCGNAAANANCGGGCGNUCCCAGCCAAGGGGGAACAGUCUCUGGUGCAACAACUCUUUUGGACUUUGGNCGCAACAAGANACACGNACAACAAGGUGUGGACAACCUGCCANUGAAAUGGGAU